CUUCUGUUGGUGAAAGAUACAAGCUUUAAAGCUACCCAGGGCUCUUCUUCAGGUCUGGAAAAGGUGCUAAAUACAAGGAUUUAUUUUUCUAGCUAGAUUACUCAGUUCACCUCCACAAAAGUACAGCCAACUCUACGAUAGAUCAUGUCUACCAUUGUAACAACUCAAUCCUGCUGACAGUCAGAAUGUUGCCAUUAUCCUCAGUGGGAGCAGGACUGGACACCAAAAAUACACUGCAACACUAGACAGAAGUUUAGGACAGGAAGUGCAGAAUGCCACUAUGUUCAUUUGAAUCUGUAGGAUCUAUUUUAACAGGCGGAAUGUAAUUACUGGAGUAUAAAUUUGGCCAGGA